rnacentral:rRNA from 1 species
UACGUAGGGUGCGAGCGUUAAUCGGAAUUACUGGGCGUAAAGCGUGCGCAGGCGGUGAUGUAAGACAGAUGUGAAAUCCCCGGGCUCAACCUGGGAACUGCAUUUGUGACUGCAUCGCUGGAGUGCGGCAGAGGGGGAUGGAAUUCCGCGUGUAGCAGUGAAAUGCGUAGAUAUGCGGAGGAACACCGAUGGCGAAGGCAAUCCCCUGGGCCUGCACUGACGCUCAUGCCCGAAAGCGUGGGGAGCAAACAGG